rnacentral:misc_RNA from 1 species
CUGUUCGAGCGUCAUUACAACCCUCAAGCACUCUUGCUUGGUCUUGGGCCGCACUACGCGUGGGCCCCAAAGUCAGUGGCGGUGCCGGUCGGCUUCCAAGCGUAGUAAUACUCCUCGCUUCCGGGACCGUCCGCGUGCCGCCAGAACCCAUACUUCUCAAGGUUGACCUCGGAUCAGGUAGGGAUACCCGCUGAACUUAA